rnacentral:rRNA from 2 species
UCCCAUGCCGAACACGAAGGUUAAGCUUCAAAGCGCUGAUGGUACUGCAGGGGAGGCCCUGUGGAAGAGUAAGUCGUUGCCAGAU